CUUUUCUCUCUUUCUCCCGCGUUUUUCUUCCUCUCCUCGGCUCUCUCUGCAACUCCGGCCAUCUCCCUCUUCCGGCCACCUGGGAGCGAACAAGCAGCACCGGUCGACUCCUCUACCCCUACCCAACCUCCCCACGGCGGUAACUCACGGCGACUUGGCCGGAAAAUGACGCAUCGGGUCCUUGAAGUUUCACUGUAGCAGAAGUGGUCAACGCCGAUAUCUUCCCUUUCCGGCCGUCUCCGGCCACCAAACCGGCGUCGAAGGUUCGGUUUUUGGCAAGGAUCAUUUUGCCCCUAGCCUCAAGCCACGAUUUGCAGCGUGGAGGAAGAAUCGAAGGGCGAUGUACCGAGCUAUUGCUCGACGAAGGAACUCGUAUGCAUGGUCGCCUAAAUAAUACUUUUGCAGGCCAGUUUAGCUUGAGGUCGAGCGUACUUGGGGUUGAGGCAUAGCUGUCAUAGCUUCCGCAUUAUAAAAGCAUCGGUCAUUUAUCUUGCUUUCUAUUCUCUUGUUCGCCUGUACAUUAGAUUGCUCUGAUAACCUAUGAGAUUAAUAUUCUUAAAUUCAGAAUUGUUUAUGAAAUGAGAGAUGUGAGAUGUUGUGAUAU